AGACUUACCUGGCAGGAGAGACACCUUGAUCAAAAAGGUGGUUUUCCCAGGGUGAGGCUUGUCCAUUGCACUCCGGAUGUGCUGACGCCUGCAAUAUUCCCACAUGUGGGAACCUUGACUGUGUAAUUGAUGCUAGAGGGGGUCUGCAUUCAUGCUCUCCCCUG